AGUGCAAUUGCUGGGUUGUAUGGGAGUUGCAUGUUUAGUUUUAUAAGAAAUUGCCAAAGUCUUUUCUGGAGUGGCUAUACCAUUUAUAUUCCCACCAGCAAU
rnacentral:pre_miRNA from 1 species